AGAGUUUGAUCAUGGCUCAGAUUGAACGCUGGCGGCAUGCUUUACACAUGCAAGUCGAACGGCAGCGGGGGCUUCGGCCCGCCGGCGAGUGGCGAACGGGUGAGCAAUGCGUCGGAACGUACCGAGUAAUGGGGGAUAACGCACCGAAAGGUGUGCUAAUACCGCAUACGCCCUGAGGGGGAAAGUGGGGGAUCGUAAGACCUCACGUUAUUCGAGCGGCCGACGUCUGAUUAGCUAGUUGGUGGGGUAAAGGCCUACCAAGGCGACGAUCAGUAGCGGGUCUGAGAGGAUGAUCCGCCACACUGGAACUGAGACACGGUCCAGACUCCUACGGGAGGCAGCAGUGGGGAAUUUUGGACAAUGGGCGCAAGCCUGAUCCAGCAAUGCCGCGUGCAGGAAGAAGGCCUUCGGGUUGUAAACUGCUUUUGUACGGAACGAAACGGCUGGGGUUAAUACCUCUGGCUAAUGACGGUACCGUAAGAAUAAGCACCGGCUAACUACGUGCCAGCAGCCGCGGUAAUACGUAGGGUGCAAGCGUUAAUCGGAAUUACUGGGCGUAAAGCGUGCGCAGGCGGUUUUGUAAGACAGAGGUGAAAUCCCCGGGCUCAACCUGGGAACUGCCUUUGUGACUGCAAGGCUGGAGUGCGGCAGAGGGGGAUGGAAUUCCGCGUGUAGCAGUGAAAUGCGUAGAUAUGCGGAGGAACACCAAUGGCGAAGGCAAUCCCCUGGGCCUGCACUGACGCUCAUGCACGAAAGCGUGGGGAGCAAACAGGAUUAGAUACCCUGGUAGUCCACGCCCUAAACGAUGUCAACUGGUUGUUGGGUAUUUACUUACUCAGUAACGAAGCUAACCGCGU
rnacentral:rRNA from 1 species